rnacentral:ncRNA from 1 species
AUUAAAGCAAUGACGAAGAAGAGUAAUCUAUUUAAACACUCUAGAGAGCUGAUGGUUGGUGGAAAUCAGUGUGGUUUGGUAGAUGAAUGGGCUUCUGAGCUUCCAAACCGAACAUAUGAAACAGUAGGCUUUGGCGACUAAGUUCCACCGUUACCCGGAACAGAUAGGAAACAAUUUGUUUUCUGUUGCUAAAGUGAACUGUAUUUGCAGUUAAUAAAGGUGGUACCACGGUCCCUCGUCCUUUUU